GACGAACGCUGGCGGCGUGCUUAACACAUGCAAGUCGAGCGAUGAAGCUCCUUCGGGAGUGGAUUAGCGGCGGACGGGUGAGUAACACGUGGGUAACCUGCCUCACAGAGGGGAAUAGCCUUCCGAAAGGAAGAUUAAUACCGCAUAAGAUUGUAGUACCGCAAGGCACCGCAAUUAAAGGAGCAAUCCGCUAUGAGAUGGACCCGCGUCGCAUUAGCUAGUUGGUGAGGUAACGGCUCACCAAGGCGACGAUGCGUAGCCGACCUGAGAGGGUGAUCGGCCACAUUGGGACUGAGACACGGCCCAGACUCCUACGGGAGGCAGCAGUGGGGAAUAUUGCACAAUGGGGGAAACCCUGAUGCAGCAACGCCGCGUGAGUGAUGACGGUCUUCGGAUCGUAAAACUCUGUCUUCAGGGACGAUAAUGACGGUACCUGAGGAGGAAGCCACGGCUAACUACGUGCCAGCAGCCGCGGUAAUAC
rnacentral:rRNA from 1 species